rnacentral:rRNA from 1 species
AUGAUGAUGCCGGCGCUGCAUGUACGCCAGCCGAGCGGCGUCUCCGCCGCGGGUUCAGCCUUGACGCCGAGCAGCGAUGGAGUGCCAGAGGAUUGGGAGGAAGAACGCGAUGAGGAAGAAGAGGAGGAGGAGCCGAACCUCCUCGGCGCCCAUUCCCCGUCGCAUCAGCGGUGCGUCGGGGCGGCCGUCCUCGUCCGUCGCGUCGGUGGUGCGUCAGGGCGGCCGUCCUCGCCAUGGCGGGUUGUUGCCGCCCUCGAGGUGCGUCAGCACACCGUCGAGCGUGCGGCCGGGGACGCCCCACCAGAGGUGGCGGCCCUCGCUGUUCUUGAUGCCGCCGACCACCGGCGCCCCGUUGGUGGACGCCAGCCGCUGCUGCUGGCGGCACUCGAAGUACGCCACCCAAGCCGCGGUGUUGUCGGCGGCGUACUGGGGAAGGGAAUGCUCGUCGUCGGUGAGGGAUCCGCGCGCGAUCUCGACCUCGUCGGUGAAGUACGACGGCUUGGUGACGGCGUCGGGCAACGGGGGAAUGGGCACUCCCCUAUUGCUGAGCCUCUAGCCCGUCGGCCGGGCGCGCAUGUCUGGCGGUGCCGGGAUGUUCGCCUGGAACAGGAGUCAGGACUCCUGUUCGCGGAGAGAACGGCGGCCGAAGCCGUUAGCCGCCGCCUCGUCUCCGGGGAAUCGCUCGGCCAUCGGGGUGAGGAAGUGGCUGGGAAGAAGAGAUCGGCGGGAGAGCGGGAGUGCUGCGGUGGCACUCCAACGCAGGCGAGCGAGGUCAUAUAUAGCCGCGCCGUCCAUGUGUACGCGCCUGAGGGAGGAAAGGUGUCGGCACGUCUCGGCGCGCCGCCCCGUGACGCGCCGCCCGUGAGGAAUCAAUGGCAAAGCUGA